AUGAGGAUCCAUUACCUUCUCUUUGCAUUUCUCCUGGUAUUGCUAUCUCCAUAUGCAGGUGAGUCAUUAACAUGCAUAGCCAAUCGUGGCUUUUGCUGGCAUUCAUGCAUUCAAGGUUUUCAACUAGCAGGCCAUUGUGGCCAUCCUAAAGUCAGAUUGCUGCAUUAA